rnacentral:tRNA from 1 species
GUAGCUCAGUGGUAGAGCGGCUGACUGCAGAUCAGCAGGUCCUCGGUUCAAAUCCGGGCG